CCUACGGGUGGCAGCAGUAGGGAAUCUUCGUCAAUGGGGGGAACCCUGACCGAGCAACGCCGCGUGAACGAAGAAGUUAUUCGUAAUGUAAAGUUCUUUUAACAGGGAAGAAAGAUACGUUUGACGGUACCUGACGCAUAAGCUCCGGCUAACUACGUGCCAGCAGCCGCGGUAAUACGUAGGGGGCGAGCGUUAUCCGGAAUUAUUGGGCGUAAAGGGUGCGGAGAUGGCAUAGUAAGUCUUUUGUAAAAAGGCUGGGCUAAAACCAGUAGGGCAAAAGAUACUGAAAAGCUAGAGUAUGACAGAGGUAAGUGGAACUACAGGUGUAGCGGUAAAAUGCGUAAAUAUAUGUAAGAACACCAGUUGCGAAGGCGGCUUGCUGGGUCGAUACUGACAUUGAGGCACGAAAGCGUGGGGAGCAAACAGGAUUAGAUACCCUUGUAGUC
rnacentral:rRNA from 1 species